rnacentral:rRNA from 1 species
UACGGGGGGGGGCAAGCGUUGUUCGGAAUUACUGGGCGUAAAGGGCUCGUAGGCGGCCAACUAAGUCGGAUGUGAAAUCCCCAGGCUUAACCUGGGAACUGCAUCCGAUACUGGAUGGCUUGAAUCCGGGAGAGGGAUGCAGAAUUCCAGGUGUAGCGGUGAAAUGCGUAGAUAUCUGGAGGAACACCGGUGGCGAAGGCGGCUCUCUGGGACGGUACUGACGCUGAGACGCGAAAGCGUGGGGAGCGAACAGG